rnacentral:rRNA from 1 species
GGAAGGGCCAUCGCUCAAAGGAUAAAAGGUACUCCCGGGAUAACAGGCUGAUCACUCCCAAGAGCUCACAUCGACGGAGUGGUUUGGCACCUCGAUGUCGGCUCGUCACAUCCUGGGGCUGGAGAAGGUCCCAAGGGUUGGGCUGUUCGCCCAUUAAAGCGGCACGCGAGCUGGGUUUAGAACGUCGUGAGACAGUUCGGUCCCUAUCUGGUGUGGGCGUUGGAUGAUUGAUGGGAGCUGCUCCUAGUACGAGAGGACCGGAGUGGACGAACCGCUGGUGUUCGGGUUGUGUCGCCAGACGCAUUGCCCGGUAGCUAUGUUCGGACAGGAUAACCGCUGAAGGCAUCUAAGCGGGAAGCCCCCCUUA